AAUGCAUUUACACUGAGGCAAAGUAAAUACCGAAAAAGGUAAACAAGAAAUGGGCAAAACUAGGGUUUACUUACCGUUUCAUAGAUAUUAUCAAUUCAUUGGUUGCUCAUUAAUUUGAUUUUUCAAUUGUUUUAAUAAUGAGCAGGUUAAAGAUAAUUAAGCAAAUCAAUUGAUAAAUAAUGUAAAUUAUUGAAUUAACAAUAGAUUAAGAGUUAAAAGGAGGUUGCUUUUAUAUGCAUAUUGAUGUGGAUAUUAAAGAUGGAAAGGGAAUCGACCUAGUGAAGGAUCUAUGAGAAGGGAUAAAGGAUGAGAACGAUGAUAAAGAAAGGGAAAUGUAAGAGAAAUGAAAAACAUAUGGAGAGGGAAGAUGGAGGUGGGAAGGAUGAUUAACAGAGAGAGAGUGGGAAGGAUGAGGAUAAAUUUGUUUUUUUGUUGUUCACAUCAAAAAUGAGGCUUAAAAUUUGCGCCUCAUGUUGUUGUUGGUUUUCCUGUUACUACAGCAACUACCUCUGUAGUAAAGGUUGUAACCUUUAUCAUUAAUUUUUGGAUAAUUUUGUGUGUUUCAAUUUGGACUCUUCUCGAUAUUAACAACUGUAAUGAGGACCAGUUUUUAACAGGACAACCUGGCCUAUUGAUACUGGAUGGAUGAUAACAGCUGAUUUUUACCCAACUUGAAUGUUUCCUCAAACCGAAAAGGCUGCUGCUUCAUUUUCACACAGUUACAAACUCGUGUUUUGCUUGCAUCUUGUAUGUUUAAAUACACAGACCCUCUAUGAGAACCGAGAGAACCUCUUCCCAUCGCCAUCAUCAGCAGCAGCUUCGCACUCGUCAUCUUUAUCCUAAACUCCUGCUCUUGUCUGUUUGCCCAUCCGUUUUGCAACUCUUUCAAUUUCAGUUGCAGUACGAGGUCCUUCCUAUUAUGUCAAUAUUUUAGCAAACAAUUGCUCAAAAUUUAAUUAAUCAAAGCAACAAGUCGGACAUUGAGAAAGGAAUGGACUAUUGUUCAAUUUGCUUAUUUGCUUAGCUUGCAAUUAGACUGUGAACUACUCUUGUGGUAUCGACUGAAUGGAAAUGUACAUCAAACAAAUAGACAGAACUCAGAACUUAAUGCAGAACUGUGUUUUAUGCUUAAAUGCAUACUAAUUGAAUGUCAUCAAAAUCAUCAAAAAAAGUAUAUAACAGUAAAAAUUUGCAACAUUUUUACGUUUCUUAUUGGAGUUGGAUCAUGAAAUUUAUAUACAUUUUAACUACAGCUUGAAUUGCAAUACUUGAGCAAACUUGAAUGAUAUUGAACCUUGAUUUAGCAACUUGGAAGAUAAAGUUCAUCAGUAUUAUUAAUAACACGGAAAGAGUUAAAUGAAGAAUUGAAAUUUAGGCGAUUCUAAAGUUCAUAUUAGCACCUGAUUUUGAAGCAUGUGUUACUGGUUAUACCGAUGAAAUUAGAUUCAGUUCUCAUUGGUAAGUCUUUGUUUUUCCCAAAUUGAGGCAUUUUGAAUUACUGGAUCUCUUGCAUUUUGGAUCAUUGAAUUCAUGGCUCUGGCUUUUUCCACUGUAAAUUGACUGUUUAAUUCAAAUUGAUGUUCAAUCGCCUGUUAAACCGCAGAUUCCCAGCUGAAUGUAGCUAUAAAUGCAAACCUAACGAUGUUUUGUUUCUCAACAAAUUACAUUGAUUGAACUUGGUCAUUUUUUUUCUUUGUUUUUCGUUUUUUAUCUUCUUCAUCAUCAUCAUAUUACUCUCCUAUUAUAUUUACAAUCUCCACUAUUAAUAUAAAAAAACCGUUGCCAAUAGUAAAGUAACAAUACUAACACCAUCCAAUCAACAUCAGAAAUGGAUAAUCAUUUAUUGAUAGAGGAUCAUCUUAAAGUUCAACUUCAAUUUCAAAUGCAACAACUUCAACAACAACUCUCACAACAGCUUCAACAGCAACAUCAACAGCAACAUCAACAACAGCAACAGCAACAACAAUCAGUGAAUUCUAAUCAUAAUCAACAUUCCCUGCCAUUGGAAGAUGCAACAAAUAAAAAUAUUUUGAGGAUAAAACGUGAAAAAAGGAAGCAGUUAAGAUUGAGAGAAUAUCGAAAUCUUUGUAAAAUCAUUCCUUCUCUUCAUGGAUUAAAUGAAGUUCCUAAAGUUAAAAUUAUUAAUGAAGCUGUUAAAUACAUUGAUGAACUGCACCAACGAUUAAUACACAAAAUUAUCAAGUCAUCACAAACCCAAUCACAUUCACCAUCAUUAUCGUCAUCAUCACCAUUACAAUCACCAACAACAGCAACAACACCUACUACAGUAACAAUACCUCUAACACCUCCAUCAUCUGAACCAUCUUCGCCUUUACCAUCACCACAAUUGUCACCAUUAUAAUAAGAGCUGAUUUUCAAUUAGCAGUUCAGUUGUUUAAAUAAUGCGUAAAAUUAAAUUGUGAAAUUGAAAAUGAAUAUAAUUGUAUGUAAGCAUAUUAUAUAAUGUAAUGUAUAAAUAUCAUUAAAUUAAAACAAUAUUUUGUCAAGAAA